rnacentral:pre_miRNA from 1 species
GUGAGGACUCGGGAGGUGGAGGGUGGCCCGGAGCCCCGUGCCGUCCCAGCGCUUUUCCCCCCACCUCCUCUCUCCUCAG